AUUUCGCGUUGCAUUAGUGUGGCAUCCAUUUUGAGAAACGAACGAAGGUUCUGGAAACAGUGAAAAUAUUUUAAAUUUCAUAGAGAUUGGAAUAUCUACAGGGAUUAUCAUUACUAUUUCCGUAAUUCGUGUCACUUGUUAUUUGUAGAAUAUUAGUGUGUUCGUCGUUAAAGUGAUAGGAACAUAAAGAAUCUUUGUGCAUAAAUUAAACGACGUUAUUGAUUUACGCAUGUCCUAUUCGAAUACUGCAAUUAUUUAACUAGUUCUUUCAAUUAUCCUUGUAGAUUGUUUUCAACAUUUUGUAACACGCUUUACUGUAUAUUUCGUCCAAUUUGAAAAGCUAGUUUGUGCCUUCGAUUGAAUAUGGAUGUAACUCUCUAUUGAACCGAUAGGAAAGUCGAGAAUCUCUAUGUACUUAUUAAUUUAUAUCAAAUUGAGUACUUGGUAUUAAAUUGAGUUACGAGUAUUCCGAGAAACAAAUUCAAAACGAUGAAAUUUAAUUCUAAUUUGUGAUGUCGAUUUUAAUCUGGUAAUUCAUUUGAGCACACAAAGACAAACAAUAUUCCUUUCAUUUUUAACCAUUGGAUUGUGUACUUUGUAAGAAUUCUUAAUUUUACAAAAGUCUUGUCGAAUAGAAUGUUAUUUAAACUUGUUUUCUGAAAUGUCCAUGAUUCGUUAUGAUCACUUUAUACAAAUUCUUAUUAUCCUGGUACAUAUGCACUGGUCACAAUAAUUAGAGAUUCGUAUAAGAUCAUUGCCAGCUAAUUGCAAGUUUUUAUAUGAACAGUCCAUUCGAUCGUCCUCAUAUUUUUGGCAUAAUGACACUUUAUAUAAAUUAUUUGAUAUUUCACUCGUGUAUCAUUUAGUGACAUUUCUAUGGUACGCGAGUAGAUCGAAAUAAAGUAACAUGAACUAUAGUUAAAUUUCUAAUUAGUCUUCACAAUGUGUCGUGAAAGUAACGUCACAGGAAUUUUCGAUUUUCCCUUGAUUUUGUGCUUUAAUUAACGUCAUUGACUCGGGGUGGGUGGAGUUUCACGUUUUACUUUCUUUCACUGGUGUCAUUCUGGUAAACGCCAUCGCGUCAAGGAAAUUAAUUUUGUUUCGUAAAAGGAUACUAAGUAUCUACCUGUUGCACCCAGCUACGAGACGAGACGAAGCUCGAUCGUUUUUGGAGAAUCGCGAAGGGGUAAAAGGUAUGCGUGUGCGAGAGCGAGAGAAAGAGGGACAAAUGGGGAGAGAAGAGGAGAUAGCGAAAAAGAGGACUCCGGCACUUGGCGAAUGAAAAAUUUUACGCGUGUACGCGUAAGAAGAAACCUGCUGGUACUUACGUCGCUGGAUUUGCAAAUUGUUGCUGGCCACCCCCGAGAUCUUUCGACUUUUCGAUUUCCGGUGUCGUCCCUUUCCCAGAUGUUGAAGCGAGCCGAAUCGUUACCAUUUCUUUGCUCUUCGACUGUUGCUGAUCGAUUAACACCUGGACUGUAUUUCCCAGCCGGAUGAUUUUACAUCAACGCAAACUCGUCGUGCAGAAAAGAGGAAAGAAGUCUGAGUGGCAGCUGUGAUUGGCGACUCCCCAUCCCGAGCAAUCCAUGGCGUCGAAUUCUCACUUCCCAAAAGAUUUACAGAAUACCUCACUGUGAAAAUUCGGGACCAACGUUAUUCUACGCUUGCUUCAUCCCUUCGCGAGAUAUUUAACCGAUUUAAACAAAAUACUUUGUACAUCGUUUCGUACCAAACAAGCGAUUGGAUGAAAAGCGUUAAUAAUAACACAUUUCACGCGAGAAUAAAUUGAAAGAAAGUCUCGAG